CAAGUACCCCCAGUACUCCACUUCCAAUUAGGGAUGACAAUUGUACCCGCACGGCCACACCCAAUGGAUGUCCAUAUGGGUAUGGUACAGCCAAAAAAUAAGGCUUUGAAAUGGGUAUGAAAGUUUUCUGGAUAAUUCUUCAGGUACAGGGAUUUCUCCCCUGCCCAUUAUAUAAAUUAUAAUAGUAAUAAUUAAUUGUUACAUUGUUAUUUGGUAUGCAAUUUAAUUUAGAAUAUGAUGUGAUAGCAUCUCUAAUUUUUUAAGUUUUCAGAUAAAUGAAUAGGAUACAGGGAUUCCCAUAAGUAAUACCCAUCCCUGCCCCCAGUGUUUUAAAAAUCACUAGGUGCUGAUCGGGUGUUUGAUUAAAGACUUCUAGGCUUCUACCAAGUAUUCCUUCUAUAAAAUACAAAUGUUUGAUCACAGAUAAUACUCCAAGUCUCCAACCAUAACACGAAAUCCAUCAAAGAAAG